rnacentral:rRNA from 1 species
AUAAGACUGGGAUAACUCCGGGAAACCGGGGCUAAUACCGGAUAAUAUUUUGAACUGCAUGGUUCGAAAUUGAAAGGCGGCUUCGGCUGUCACUUAUGGAUGGACCCGCGUCGCAUUAGCUAGUUGGUGAGGUAACGGCUCACCAAGGCAACGAUGCGUAGCCGACCUGAGAGGGUGAUCGGCCACACUGGGACUGAGACACGGCCCAGACUCCUACGGGAGGCAGCAGUAGGGAAUCUUCCGCAAUGGACGAAAGUCUGACGGAGCAACGCCGCGUGAGUGAUGAAGGCUUUCGGGUCGUAAAACUCUGUUGUUAGGGAAGAACAAGUGCUAGUUGAAUAAGCUGGCACCUUGACGGUACCUAACCAGAAAGCCACGGCUAACUACGUGCCAGCAGCCGCGGUAAUACGUAGGUGGCAAGCGUUAUCCGGAAUUAUUGGGCGUAAAG